UUAUGCCUUUGACCUUAUAUUGAAGGUCCAACCUUUUAUAAUUCAUCUCUUUUAUUUUUCUGAACAUUCUGCUUUUUAAAACAUUGUUGUGGGCAAGGUAGUUUAACAUUUUGCUUAUGUCCUUGUUGCAAAAUUGCAUGGCUCUCUGACUUCAAGAAUUGCAAUGAGCCUCUUGGCCCUUUUUUUUGACAUCUUGUUUUUUAUGCAUAAUUUGUGUUCUCAAUAAUCUCUUCAGUGUUUUUGUAGGAUAUAUUUUGGCACAAUAUGCAAUGACCCUUGUUCCUGUUUAGUGCACUUAUUUUGUGUGUUUCUGUUUGUGUGUAUGAGAGAGAGAGAGAGAGUCCAAAAUACUCGCUAUUGAUAAAGAGGUUUGAUAAAGGCAGGGUCCCAAUCCCCAUUAUGGCAUUAUUUGUAUUAACUUUUCUAAUGAGCUAUGAGCGAAGUAGUUUAUUACCUGGGAUGUCUAUUUUCUACUCAGAAACCCAAUUGCUUCUUUGAAACAAAAUAGGCCAAAAUAUAAAUGCUUGUAAUCUGAAAGUUUUUUGAGACAUUCUUGUCAUUGCGCUGUUUAAGUUGCUUUGUGUCAUCUCAUGAUUUCUGCAUCUUUGAUUAAGCUUGACUUUGGGGCUUUCUGGAAAUAGAUGAGGGUCUUAAUAUCUUUUAUUAUAGAGGUGGAUAGGUUUGUUUUGGAAUUGAGAGUAUUGCUUGGUGAUUAUUGUUGAAAAAUUUGUAAUCAUGGCAUGUUUUAUUCGGGGUUUUCUUUCCCUAAGUUUGUGUUAUCAAUAUUUGGACCACGAGUGUUGGGAGCUGAGUAACGGUUCAAUACUUAAGUUCUUUGUUCUUUGAUAUAUUGGUGACAUGAUAAUCUGGAUGUUGAGUUUGUGCAUCAUUUGUGUUUGGAACCCUUGAUGUUGAGUUGCAGUUUAACCACCCUAAGCACCAAACCAAGAACCCUGCUCCUGAUUUCUCUACUUUUCUUCUGCUUUCCCAAAUAAUGAGACCGAGUGAAAAGCUUGAAAUAACGAUCCGAUAUCAUGCAGUUAGGCUCAAGACCAAUUAUUUUAUUCCCACAAUGUGUGGAGAAUUGACAUUGAAGACUACCCAUGCAAAAGGGGAAAAAGAUGAAAAAUAUUUAGAGCUCUGUUUGCUGCAUUAGAUCUCACAUUGUCAAAAUCGUUGGUUGUUUCCUUGUGGGAUACAAAUCAUUUGUUCAGAUGGACUGGCUUUAUAUGGUGAGUUAUUGAUCAACACCUAGCCUGAAAAGAACUAGGAAAGAGAGAGUUAGUGAUCAAGACUGGACAAAGAAACUUCGACUGCUGAUGGAUGUGGGAAGUUGAUGUGUAGUAGUUGAGCAAGAGAUGGUCGAAGCUUGCAUAAGUGAGGAUGUGGAACCACGGUGGGUCUUCCCUGGACAAUUGGAUCACAAAGCACAUGCUUGUUGAGUGCUGAAGAGGGCAUGUGUGCUUCUCUCUCAAAGUUAAGGUCAAGUGAGUACUGCCUAGCAUUGAUGAACUAGGCGAGGUUGCCCAAUUAAUAUAAUUCUUGAACCUCACAAAAGAGCUUGGCUUGAGCCUGUGCUCAAUUUUAUGGUCCACUGAUAUACUGACCGAUCAAUAAGUACCCUAUUACUCACGACGAGGUUUUUGAAACAAAACAUGUGUUUGAAUGCUGGUGGGGCCUUAAGGGUUUUUCAGUGUCAGAGAUGCAAUCCAGUCAUCUGCUUCUGAAAUUGGAGUUCUAAUAAAGAGUUACUGCAAAAUCUGAUCUCAUACUAUUAACAAUCAAUAUUUGUACAAGUGAAACAGGGAGUGAAUCACCCAGAGUUGAUAAUUGGAGGUUCGGUGUUUUUGAGGUAUUUAUUUGUAAUGCUGUUUCCCUUAAAAUUAGGCUGUAAACCCGAGUCUUUUGUACACUUGUGAACCUAAGAAAAACUCUCUCUCUCUCUCUCUCUCUCGCUCUCUCUCUCCAUAUUA